GCGUCUGUAGCUCAGUUGGAUAGAGCAUCGGAUUUCGAAUCCGACGGUCGCAGGUUCGAGUCCUGCCAGGCGCA
rnacentral:tRNA from 2 species